AUUGAACGCUGGCGGUAUGCUUAACACAUGCAAGUCGAACGCGAAAAUUCCUUCGGGAAUGAGUAGAGUGGCGGACGGGUGAGUAAAACGUAGGAAUCUGCCCUUUUGUGGGGGACAACCUGGGGAAACCCAGGCUAAUACCGCAUAAGCCCUACGGGGGAAAGCGGGGGACCUUCGGGCCUCGUGCGAAAGGAUGAGCCUACGUCGGAUUAGCUUGUUGGUGAGGUAAUGGCUCACCAAGGCGACGAUCCGUAGCUGGUCUGAGAGGAUGAUCAGCCACACUGGGACUGAGACACGGCCCAGACUCCUACGGGAGGCAGCAGUGGGGAAUAUUGGACAAUGGGCGAAAGCCUGAUCCAGCAAUACCGCGUGGGUGAAGAAGGCUUGCGGGUUGUAAAGCCCUUUCAGUAGGGAGGAUGGGGUGACAUAUUAAUACUAUGUCGCCUUGACGUUACCUACAGAAGAAGCACCGGCUAACUCCG
rnacentral:rRNA from 1 species